rnacentral:rRNA from 1 species
UACGAAGGGGGCUAGCGUUGCUCGGAAUCACUGGGCGUAAAGGGUGCGUAGGCGGGUCUUUAAGUCAGGGGUGAAAUCCUGGAGCUCAACUCCAGAACUGCCUUUGAUACUGAAGAUCUUGAGUUCGGGAGAGGUGAGUGGAACUGCGAGUGUAGAGGUGAAAUUCGUAGAUAUUCGCAAGAACACCGGUGGCGAAGGCGGCCUUCUGGUCGGAUACUGACGCUAAAACGCGAAAGCGUGGGGAGCAAACAGG